rnacentral:rRNA from 1 species
UACGUAGGUGACAAGCGUUGUCCGGAUUUACGGGGCGUAAAGAGCGCGCAGGCGGUCGAUCAAGUCGAGUGUGAAAGCCCCCGGCUCAACUGGGGAGGGUCAUUCGAUACUGAUCGACUCGAAGGCAGGAGAGGGUAGUGGAAUUCCCGGUGUAGUGGUGAAAUGCGUAGAUAUCGGGAGGAACACCAGUGGCGAAGGCGACUACCUGGCCUGUUCUUGACGCUGAGGCGCGAAAGCCAGGGGAGCAAACGGG